rnacentral:rRNA from 1 species
CAGCCGCCGCGGUAAUACGUAGGGUGCGAGCGUUAAUCGGAUUUACUGGGCGUAAAGCGUGCGCAGGCGGCCCGUUAAGACAGGUGUGAAAUCCCUGGGCUCAACCUAGGAAUUGCGCUUGUGACUGGCGGGCUCGAGUACGGUAGAGGGGGGUGGAAUUCCUGGUGUAGCAGUGAAAUGCGUAGAGAUCAGGAGGAACACCGAUGGCGAAGGCAGCCCCCUGGGCCGGUACUGACGCUCAUGCACGAAAGCGUGGGGAGCAAACAGGAUUAGAUACCCUGGUAGUCCACGCCCUAAACGAUGGGUACUAGCCGUUUGGUGCGCGAUAGCGCUGAGUGGCGAAGCUAACGCGUGAAGUACCCCGCCUGGGGAGUACGGCCGCAAGGUUGAAACUUAAAGGAAUUGGCGGG